GAUGAACGCUGGCGGCGUGCCUAAUACAUGUAAGUCGAGCGAACAGACGAGGAGCUUGCUCCUCUGACGUUAGCGGCGGACGGGUGAGUAACACGUGGAUAACCUACCUAUAAGACUGGGAUAACUUCGGGAAACCGGAGCUAAUACCGGAUAAUAUAUUGAACCGCAUGGUUCAAUAGUGAAAGACGGUUUUGCUGUCACUUAUAGAUGGAUCCGCGCCGCAUUAGCUAGUUGGUAAGGUAACGGCUUACCAAGGCAACGAUGCGUAGCCGACCUGAGAGGGUGAUCGGCCACACUGGAACUGAGACACGGUCCAGACUCCUACGGGAGGCAGCAGUAGGGAAUCUUCCGCAAUGGGCGAAAGCAUGACGGAGCAACGCCGCGUGAGUGAUGAAGGUCUUCGGAUCGUAAAACUCUGUUAUUAGGGAAGAACAAAUGUGUAAGUAACUAUGCACGUCUUGACGGUACCUAAUCAGAAAGCCACGGCUAACUACGUG
rnacentral:rRNA from 1 species